AUUGAACGCUAGCGGGAUGCUUUACACAUGCAAGUCGAACGAGUGGCGGACGUGUGAGUAAUAUAUCGGAACGUGCCCAGUAGCGGGGGAUAACUACUCGAACGAGUUGCUAAUACCGCAUUCUAUUGGAGCGGCCGCUAUCGGAUUAGCUAGUUGGUGGGGUAAAGGUUCACCAAGGCAACGAUCCGUAGCUGGUUUGAGAGGACGACCAGCCACACUGGGACUGAGACACGGCCCAGACGCCCACGGUAGGCAGCAGGGGGGAAUGUGGGAAAAUGGGGGAAACCCUGAUCCAGCCAUCCCGCGUGUAUGAGAAGGCCUUCGGGUUGUAAAGUUCUAUUGGUAGAGAAGCGGUAUCUGCAGAAGAAGCACCGGCUAACUACGUGCUAGCAGCCGCGGUAAUAC
rnacentral:rRNA from 1 species